GUCGGGCGGCGUCGACCGUAACACAUGCAAGUCGAACGAAGCGAUACAAGAUGAAGUUUCGGAUGAAUUCGAGAUUGACUGAGUGGCGGACGGGUGAGUAACGCGUGGGUAACCUGCCUCAUACAGGGGGAUAACAGUUAGAAAUGACUGCUAAUACCGCAUAAGCGCACAGUACCGCAUGGUACAGUGUGAAAAACUCCGGUGGUAUAUGAUGGACCCGCGUCUGAUUAGCUAGUUGGUGAGGUAACGGCUCACCAAGGCGACGAUCAGUAGCCGGCCUGAGAGGGUGAACGGCCACAUUGGGACUGAGACACGGCCCAAACUCCUACGGGAGGCAGCAGUGGGGAAUAUUGCACAAUGGGGGAAACCCUGAUGCAGCGACGCCGCGUGAGUGAAGAAGUAUUUCGGUAUGUAAAGCUCUAUCAGCAGGGAAGAAAAUGACGGUACCUGAUUAAGAACGCCCCGGCUAACUACGUG
rnacentral:rRNA from 1 species